GUGGGGAAUCUUCCGCAAUGGACGAAAGUCUGACGGAGCGACGCCGCGUGAGUGAAGAAGGCCUUCGGGUCGUAAAGCUCUGUCAUCAGGGACGAACGGCCGGUGGAGUGGAAAGCCAUCGGAUUGACGGUACCUGAGAAGGAAGCCACGGCUAACUACGUGCCAGCAGCCGCGGUAAUACGUAGGUGGCAAGCGUUGUCCGGAAUUAUUGGGCGUAAAGCGCGCGCAGGUGGGAUCUUAAGUCCAUUUUUAAAGUUCGGAGCUCAACUCCGUGAUGGGAUGGAAACUGGGAUUCUUGAGUACCGGAGAGGAAGGCGGAAUUCCCCGUGUAGCGGUGAAAUGCGUAGAUAUGGGGAGGAACACCAGUGGCGAAGGCGGCUUUCUGGACGGUGUCUGACACUGAGGCGCGAAAGCCAGGGGAGCGAACGGGAUUAGAUACCCGUGUAGUCC
rnacentral:rRNA from 1 species